GCUGGGUGUGGUGGCGCACCCCUGUAAUCCCAGCUACUCGGGAGGCUGAGGUGGGAGAAUUGCUUGAACCCGGGAGGCAGAGGCUGCAGUGAGCCAAGAUCUCACCACUGCACUCCAGCCUGGGCAACAGAGCAAGACCCCGUCUCAA
rnacentral:sRNA from 1 species